GUGUGCGGCCGCCUAAUAUCUCCCCGCCCUCCCAUCCCCCGGUAAUGAAGUCCGGCCAGAGGCAGAGGGGAGAUAGGAGCCGCCACGGCGCCACCGCAAUACCGUUUCCACUCGGCUGCACCCCCCACCCGGACGGCGCACGGACUCCUCGUCUGCCUGGUGUGAGGUAGCAAGAGCAGAGGAGAGCCGCUUUUGAAUAGGAGGGAGAGAUCGCGGCCAGGACAAGGAGCUACAUAUGAGGCAUCUUCCGGAUCAUGUGAUCUCCUACAUGAAUAGUGAUUACCGACUGAAGAUGUUGUCUGCCCAGGAAGGAUACAUUUCUUCAGAGGUUCCCCGUUAUGAGAAGCCACGAUAUAGCAAAACUUCUACUGAAUCCGGACAUCAGUGUGCAAAGGCAUAGGUACAUGUAUGUAUGCAACGUUCGUUCAAAUCAGACAUCUUAGGCUAUAGCACUGUCCCAGCAUACUCUAUAGGUUGAAUGUCGUCCCACACCCAACCAGUGGUCCCUUGACCGCCAAGUGCAUAUAGAGGAUGUCUCGUCCUCCUCCCUGUCUUC